rnacentral:rRNA from 1 species
GCUCUUCCGAUCUGAUGACUGUUGGUGAAGUGGCAAUGGUAGAUGUUGUGAUGGUGUGGAUAUGGUGAAUUGACCCGUCUUGAAACACGGACCAAGGAGUCUCAUUUAUUUGUGAAGAUAAGGGAGUUGUGACAUUGGUGUAUCUGGAAUGAAGAUGAAGUUUAGAUGUGAAAGUGUGUUUUAGAAGACAACACAAGCAAUAUUGAUUCACUCUGUUUUUUCAACAGGGACAGAAUUUGAAUGAAUAGAUGAGGACCCGAAAGAUGGUGAACUAUACUUGGAGAGAAAGAAGUCAGGGGAAACUCUGAUGGAUGUUCGUAGCAGUGCUAACGUGCAAAUUGCUUGUGGGAACUGAGUAUAGGGGCGAAAGACUCAUCGAACCAUCUAGUAGCUGGUUCCCUCCGAAUUUUCCCUCAGGAUUGCAGUGAUUUGGAAAUAGUUAUAUCAAGUAAAGAUAAUGAUUAGAAUCUUGUGUUUUUCUGCUUUUCUCUUUUUGGGAAUUGCAGAGACACAGUUAAGGGGACAAGAAUGGUCCUUUUGUUAUUCUCAAACUUAGAAGUGGUAUAGACGUGGCUGGACUCAUGGGCUUAAGAAGUUGGAUGGGUCUGGUGGGAAAUAGAGCAAAUGAUUAGUGGGCCUAAUCUGGUAAGCAGAAGAGGCGAUGUGGGAUGAACCAAAGGGAAAGUUAAGGGGUCUAAAGUAAGGCACACAAGGACGCCAGAAAGGGAGUUGAUUGAUGGAGACAGCAGGACGGUGGCCACGGAAGUUGGAUGACCCGCCAAGAAGUGUGUAACAACUUACCUGCCGAAUUGAUGAGUCCCGAAAAUGGAUGACGCUGGAGUGCUUAGCAUCAUAGUUUCCCAAUACUUUUCUAUCACAGCGAGUUUGAUUUGUUGAUUGGUUAGUUGUGAUAAGUAGGAGGAAGCGCAUGGGGAGUGUGGAAGCUGGGUGGGGAGACUCAGUGUGGAACAACCUGUGGUGCAGAUCUUGGUGGUAGUAGCAAUUACUCGAGUGGGACGCUCGAGGACCAAAGUGGAGAAGGGUUUCAAGACAAUGGCAAGCAGUCAUGAGUGAGUCGGUGCUGAAGAGUAGGGGCAACCCGUGGGAAUUGCGUGACACGUGAUGGUGACGCAUGACUGUGAAAGGCAAAUGUGUUAAGAAUGACAUACCUUGCUGGUCGUAUUUAGGGUGAUGGGGUGUUGUGUGUGGUUUGUGUGCCAGUGAUGGUGUGUGGACGUGUGCAAUGCUUAGGCGUCACCUGGUGAUGGAUGGCAACAUGAAGGAAUUCCGCGACGGCUGUCAGCAUUUCCGUAAAAGUUAUCUUUUGUUAAUAAUCCACAUAGUGAGUGUGAUUGGUGUAUUGUGUAAGCAUUACAUUUUGAUUGCAUUUGUAGAAGGAAAGCCAAGAAAGUGAAUGGAUUGGAGCAGUGGCUGGUGGUGGAGAAUAGCAGUUAGGAGUUGUGGUGACACAGCUAGGACUGGUGGAAGAAUGUAGGUGAUGGCGACGUGAAAAGCGGGAGGAGCAGAACUGGUGUGGAUUGUGUUGUGGAUUGGCAGUGUAUUUCAUUGUUGGUUUGUGAUGUGAUUGAGACACUGGGAGUGGAUAAAGAAGCAAGACCGUACCGAUGACCGCAACAGGUCUCCGAGGUUAGAAGCCUUUGGUGGAAUAGAAGAAAGUAGGUAAGGGAAGUCGGCAAAUUAGUACCGUAAGUUUGCAAGAAGGUAUGGCUCCAAAUUUGUGAUUGUGAAUGUCUUUUGAGUUGGUCAUGUAUUGUGAUAGAUUUGUGAUUGACUUGAAGUUUUGGGACGUUGAACAGGAAAUGUUUGGAACUGAUAGAAAGAAAGGGAAUUGGACUGUAUAAUAAAAACAAAGCAUUGUGAUGGUGUAGACAAGCGUGUAGACACAAUGUGAAUUCUGCCCAGUGCUGAGAAUGUCAAAGUGAAGAGAUUUAAGGAAGCACGGGUUAACGGCGGGAGUAACUAUGACUCUCUUAAGGUAGCCAAAUGCCUCGUCAUCUAAUUAGUGACGCGCAUGAAU